rnacentral:rRNA from 1 species
AUUGAACGCUGGCGGCAGGCCUAACACAUGCAAGUCGAGCUAGCGGCGGACGGGUGAGUCAUGUCUGGGAAACUGCCUGAUGGAGGGGGAUAACUACUGGAAACGGUAGCUAAUACCGCAUACAAUCAGAUGUGCCCAGAUGGGAUUAGCUAGUAGGUGGGGUAAUGGCUCACCUAGGCGACGAUCCCUGGCUGGUCUUAGAGGAUGACCAGCCCACCUGGAACUGAGACACGUGCCAGACUCCUACGUGAGGCAUCAUUGGGGAAUAUUGCACAAGGGGCGCAAGCCUGAUGCAGCCAUGCCGCGUGUAUGAAGAAGGCCUUCGGGUUGUAAAGUACUUUCAGCGGGGAGGCGUUACCCGCAGAAGAAGCACCGGCUAACUCCGUGCCAGCCGCCGCGGUAAUUC